GCAGUAGCCGCGGUAAUACGUAGGGUGCAAGCGUUAAUCGGAAUUACUGGGCGUAAAGCGUGCGCAGGCGGUUAUAUAAGACAGAUGUGAAAUCCCCGGGCUCAACCUGGGAACUGCAUUUGUGACUGUAUAGCUAGAGUACGGCAGAGGGGGAUGGAAUUCCGCGUGUAGCAGUGAAAUGCGUAGAUAUGCGGAGGAACACCGACGGCGAAGGCAAUCCCCUGGGCCUGUACUGACGCUCAUGCACGAAAGCGUGGGGAGCAAACAGGAUUAGAUACCCCUGUAGUCCCUGUCUCUUAUAC
rnacentral:rRNA from 1 species